ACUCCUACGGGAGGCAGCAGUGGGGAAUUUUGGACAAUGGGCGAAAGCCUGAUCCAGCAAUGCCGCGUGAGUGAAGAAGGCCUUCGGGUUGUAAAGCUCUUUUGUCAGGGAAGAAACGGUGAAAGCUAAUAUCUUUUGCUAAUGACGGUACCUGAAGAAUAAGCACCGGCUAACUACGUGCCAGCAGCCGCGGUAAUACGUAGGGUGCAAGCGUUAAUCGGAAUUACUGGGCGUAAAGCGUGCGCAGGCGGUUUUGUAAGUCUGAUGUGAAAUCCCCGGGCUCAACCUGGGAAUUGCAUUGGAGACUGAAAGGCUAGAAUCUGGCAGAGGGGGGUAGAAUUCCACGUGUAGCAGUGAAAUGCGUAGAUAUGUGGAGGAACACCGAUGGCGAAGGCAGCCCCCUGGGUCAAGAUUGACGCUCAUGCACGAAAGCGUGGGGAGCAAACAGGAUUAGAUACCCCGGUAGUCCC
rnacentral:rRNA from 1 species